ACUUUAACAGCUCUCUUCUGCUCCAAUCAAAUAUAUUUUCCACUGACUACAUACCAAGGGACACAGCAACACUGAAUACAGACUCCUUGUGUUACACUGGUGAAAUGCAAACUUGGCUCAUCAAUCAUUCUUUCCCAGUGGCUUUGAGUAAGUAAAUGCAAUGCUCUAUCUUAGGAGAAUGACUCCAUCCCAGUUUUCCUGAAACAUCAAUAAAAACCCCUGUUGUUCGCAGCAAGGAAGAUGUGCCCAUUUAAAGUAAGUUGAUCUCUGGAGACUGAUGGACAUGUCCUACACCGAACCUGCCUGGGGCAAGAUACAUCCAGCCGAAGUGUUGAGAGCACAGUAGGAUGAACAGAACUUACCAUCACUGCUACCAGUCUCUUUCAAUUAUGUUUGUUGGAAGUACUUUGUAUCAGGUCUGGUGACAGGAGAGGGAACCCAGAGUCCCCCCGGGUCCCCCAGGAGCAACGACCAGCAGCAGGGAAGGUACCUGCAGAGCCCUGAGAGUCGCUUUCUCGCCGCCCCUGGAGCUGGUGGGUUCUGAAACUGGAACAAGCUGGAGCUGGGCUGCGUGGGACAUAGAAACUGUUCCUGGUGACCAGGAUGAGACCAGCUGGGACACCCCACUCUCUCUGAAGCCAGCAUACAGGAUCCAGGAAAUCCUGGCAGAAGUCGACGAAGGACCUCCUUGCCAACUGCGAUCUGGUUAGGAUCCACUCGUGGGAGGCCCUGGUAAACGAUCAGAUGGGAGAGGAGACAGAAGGAAACAUCAGGGGAGUCUCCCUCCGCCUGCUUCAGGAGACACCUCGGGCAGUAACUGCCCCUUCUCCACGGCUCCAGCUCCUUCCAGAACAGCCCUUCGUCUGCGGUCCCACACCAGCCAGGCAGCCCCACCUUUGUUCGGCUCCUACUGCUCAAUAAAUAUUUGUUAA